AGUUCAGAUUGCAGGCUGCAACUCGCCUGCAUGAAGUCGGAAUUGCUAGUAAUCGCAGAUCAGCAUGCUGCGGUGAAUACGUUCCCGGGCCUUGUACACACCGCCCGUCACACCAUGGGAGUCGGUAACACCCGUAGUCGGUAGCCUAACCGUAAGGAGGGCGCCGCCGAAGGUGGGAUUGAUGACUGGGGUGAAGUCGUAACAAGGUACC
rnacentral:rRNA from 1 species